rfam:Trichoderma reesei QM6a unplaced genomic scaffold TRIREscaffold_2, whole genome shotgun sequence.
GGCGUGCUGGCGCAAUGGUAGCGCGCAGUCCUCCUAAGACUGAGGCUCAGGGUUCGAGUCCCUGGUACGUCG